rnacentral:lncRNA from 12 species
UGAAGGGCCUUGGCUUUCCUGCAUGGGGGCAGUGGCUGCUUCCACAUUGGGGCCCCGGGACUGAUCUCCUGGUGGGCCAUGCGUGUGGCCAACGUGGAUGGGACCUACAGGUGACAGAGCUUCCCAAACAGAGCCUGAGCAUCUGGGGACGUAGGGAGGGCCUUGCAGGUGGCAUGACUCUCGUGGCUGCUGUCAGUGCCUCACAGAGAGAAAGCAGAAGAGAGGACAGACCAGGUGCAGAAGCCACUGGGUGCUUUUUCUCCAUUUGCAGAAGGUAAAGAGGAAAGAGCUUCUGUUAGAAACGGGAUUUCAAGGGAUGCCUGGGUGGCUCAGUGGUUAAGCAUUUGCCUUCGGCUCAGGUCAUGAUCCCCGGGUCCUGGGAUCGAGUCCCACAUUGGGCUCCCUGCAGGGAGCCUACUUCUCCCUCUGCCUGUGUCUCUGCCUCACACAGCUGGGGGUGGACGCAGAGCUGCUCACGUCCUUCCAGACACAGGGGGCGCCAGGGGGGCCCCGUCACCAAGGGCCCUGGACUCCAACCACAAAGCAAACCCAAACAUGCCUGGGGUUGAGGGGUCACGUGUAAGUCCUGAUAGAGCCUUGGCAUCCAGAAGUCUGGGCGCCAGGCGCUCACACCACAGGAACGGGGCAAGGGCCCCAAGCUGGCUGCUGCGUCCCUUCGUGGAGGAGUGUUUCCAUUUGUGGAAGUCAGGCCUCAGCCCAGAAGGCCCAAAGCCCACCCCCUCCCUCCCGGGGCGCCAGCUCUGAGGCAAGAGACCAUCCCCUUCCUGGCUUCACUUCCUUCAUCUCGCUUCCCCACCGUGAGCCACCGGCCUCCUGCCCUCUGGCCUCUGCUCCCCGACAUCUGCAUGACUCAAGAUGUGUCAUUUCCUGCCAGACCUUCCAGAGGCUCAAACCCAGAGUGCAGAGCAUCAGCACUACCGCCGCCCCCAGGCCCUCUGAGUCACAGUCUGCAUGCUCCCAGGGCCGGGUGUCCAGGAAAGCCUGGGAAGCGCUUGUCUGGGCUUCCAGAGACCUGCCCCAAUGCCUGGGAUGGGGCCAAGGGUCCCACAGGAGUCCUCCUGAGGUCAAGGUCUCAGCACACGGGGCUGCUGUAGGCGAAGAUGCUUCCUGUAGCCAAGAAUUGGUGGCACUUGCAUAAGUGAGGCCAGGAAGUCACUGCUCGUGGACAGAGGACACUGAGGGUUGGGUCCAGACACCUCCUCCAGGCUCCAGUAGGUACAUGGGCUGAGGCCAAGCAGUGCCGUGGUAGCCUGUCUCUUCUGGCUGGGACACUCGAAGUCACAUGGAACAAGGGAACCCCCACAGCAUCCAUGUCCUCUGCACCCCCAGGCCAGGGACCACCCCCCCCAGGGAAGGAGACCCAGCCCCCAGGGGCUUCAAACCUACUGGGGACAGAUGCACAAAGCAGGUAACGACAAAGCUGUACGGAAGCAGCAAAGGACGACCUGGGUGCGGGUUUUGCUGCCCACAGAGGAGUGACCAGGGGAGCAGCCCGGUGAGGGUCUGGCCGGCCUGGAAACAGCCAGUCCACGUACCACGGUCAACGCUUCCGUUUCCCUAAAUCCAUCUUUCCCCUUCUUUGGAUUGUUAUCAUGAUCGACAUAUCAUUUACACACAGCACAGAGCCCUCAUGGUAAGGACGCCGCUGGAUCUGUCCUGACAACUGUAU